rnacentral:rRNA from 1 species
AGUCUUAAUUGGGCGUUAAGUUGCAGGGUAUAGACCCGAAACCCGGUGAUCUAGCCAUGGGCAGGUUGAAGGUUGGGUAACACUAACUGGAGGACCGAACCGACUAAUGUUGAAAAAUUAGCGGAUGACCUGUGGCUGGGGGUGAAAGGCCAAUCAAACCGGGAGAUAGCUGGUUCUCCCCGAAAGCUAUUUAGGUAGCGCCUCGUGAAUUCAUCUCCGGGGGUAGAGCACUGUUUCGGCUAGGGGGCCAUCCCGGCUUACCAACCCGAUGCAAACUGCGAAUACCGGAGAAUGUUAUCACGGGAGACACACGGCGGGUGCUAACGUCCGUCGUGAAGAGGGAAACAACCCAGACCGCCAGCUAAGGUCCCAAAGUCAUGGUUAAGUGGGAAACGAUGUGGGAAGGCCCAGACAGCCAGGAUGUUGGCUUAGAAGCAGCCAUCAUUUAAAGAAAGCGUAAUAGCUCACUGGUCGAGUCGGCCUGCGCGGAAGAUGUAACGGGGCUAAACCAUGCACCGAAGCUGCGGCAGCGACACUGUGUGUUGUUGGGUAGGGGAGCGUUCUGUAAGCCUGUGAAGGUGU